CAUGGUUGUAUUUUGAUUGAAAUCAGAGAAGCACCCAACACCCGAGGCAGAACAAUCCCACUUGAAUGGUUGCCUUAGUCCCUACUGUUAAGUGAAUCCUACCACAGGUCCAUAUGUGGCAGAGGGUAUGGCUUCCUUUUCAGUUGUCAUCAUUGGCCACUUGGCCUCACCAGGACCAAGUCCAUAGAGUUUAGAAGCUAUCUACAAAUUCCAGCAAUAGCAAAGUGCAUAAUUGAAAAGUGUUAUUGUUGCAAACUUAAAACCGUUGGUAUGGUUGCACAUUUUGGACAGAACAGUAUUACUCCAAAAGCAUUACCAACUUCAUUCAAAAUACAAAUCAGCAAACAUUAGGUGUAGAGAGAGAAAUUUGAGGGAUUUUUCCAUUGUCAGCCUGUUUCCCUCCGCUUUCUGGCUUCAAGCCACCAUUAUACCUCCAGUAACAUUACCGGUAAAGUUUUUAAUUUUGUUUUAAAAAGUUGUUGGUAAAAAUAUGAUUUAGGUUUUGGUAUUUCAAUUUAGGGUUUAGAUUUGCGUUUAUUUUGGUAGAUUAGCCUGGGAGCAUUAGUUUGUAUGAUAAAUCUUC